rnacentral:rRNA from 1 species
ACGGGUGAGUAAUGUCUGGGAAACUGCCCGAUGGAGGGGGAUAACUACUGGAAACGGUAGCUAAUACCGCAUAACGUCGCAAGACCAAAGUGGGGGACCUUCGGGCCUCACACCAUCGGAUGUGCCCAGAUGGGAUUAGCUAGUAGGUGGGGUAAUGGCUCACCUAGGCGACGAUCCCUAGCUGGUCUGAGAGGAUGACCAGCCACACUGGAACUGAGACACGGUCCAGACUCCUACGGGAGGCAGCAGUGGGGAAUAUUGCACAAUGGGCGCAAGCCUGAUGCAGCCAUGCCGCGUGUAUGAAGAAGGCCUUCGGGUUGUAAAGUACUUUCAGCGGGGAGGAAGGCGGUGAAGUUAAUAGCUUCACCGAUUGACGUUACCCGCAGAAGAAGCACCGGCUAACUCCGUGCCAGCAGCCGCGGUAAUACGGAGGGUGCAAGCGUUAAUCGGAAUUACUGGGCGUAAAGCGCACGCAGGCGGUCUGUCAAGUCGGAUGUGAAAUCCCCGGGCUUAACCUGGGAACUGCAUUCGAAACUGGCAGGCUAGAGUCUUGUAGAGGGGGGUAGAAUUCCAGGUGUAGCG